rnacentral:tRNA from 1 species
AUUUAAAUAGUUUAAUUAAAAUAUUGAUUUGUGGUGUCAAUGAUAUGAAUAUUUUCAUUUUAGAUC